GAUUAACGCUGGCGGCGUGCAUAACACAUUCAAGUCGAACGGUUGUAGCAAUACAACAGUGGCGGACGGGUGAGUAACGCGUGAGCAAUCUACCUUCCAGUGCGGAAUAACAACCGGAAACAGUUGCUAAUACCGCAUGAAACAGCAGCACCGCAUGGUGCAACUGCCAAAGGCUUGCUGCUGGAGGAUGAGCUUGCGUCCGAUUAGGUAGUUGGUGAGAUAGAAGCCCACCAAGCCGACGAUCGGUAGCCGGACUGAGAGGUUGAACGGCCACAUUGGAACUGAGAUACGGUCCAG
rnacentral:rRNA from 1 species